rnacentral:rRNA from 1 species
GAGUUUGAUCCUGGCUCAGAUUGAACGCUGGCGGCAGGCCUAACACAUGCAAGUCGAGCGGAAACGAGUUAACUGAACCUUCGGGGAACGUUAACGGCGUCGAGCGGCGGACGGGUGAGUAAUGCCUGGGAAAUUGCCCUGAUGUGGGGGAUAACCAUUGGAAACGAUGGCUAAUACCGCAUAAUAGCUUCGGCUCAAAGAGGGGGACCUUCGGGCCUCUCGCGUCAGGAUAUGCCCAGGUGGGAUUAGCUAGUUGGUGAGGUAAUGGCUCACCAAGGCGACGAUCCCUAGCUGGUCUGAGAGGAUGAUCAGCCACACUGGAACUGAGACACGGUCCAGACUCCUACGGGAGGCAGCAGUGGGGAAUAUUGCACAAUGGGCGCAAGCCUGAUGCAGCCAUGCCGCGUGUAUGAAGAAGGCCUUCGGGUUGUAAAGUACUUUCAGCAGUGAGGAAGGUGGGUAUGUUAAUAGCAUACUCAUUUGACGUUAGCUGCAGAAGAAGCACCGGCUAACUCCGUGCCAGCAGCCGCGGUAAUACGGAGGGUGCGAGCGUUAAUCGGAAUUACUGGGCGUAAAGCGCAUGCAGGUGGUUUGUUAAGCCAGAUGCGAAAGCCCGGGGCUCAACCUCGGAAUUGCAUUUGAAACUGGCAAACUAGAGCACUGUAGAGGGGGGAAGAAUUUCAGGUUAG